UACGUAGGUGACAAGCGUUGUCCGGAUUUACUGGGAGUAAAGAGCGCGCAGGCGGUCGAUCAAGUCGAGUGUGAAAGCCCCCGGCUCAACUGGGGAGGGUCAUUCGAUACUGCUCGGCUCGAAGACAGGAGAGGGAAGCGGAAUUCCCGGUGUAGUGGUGAAAUGCGUAGAGAUCCGGAGGAACACCAGUGGCGAAGGCGGCUGCCUGGGCCUGGCCUGACGCUGAGGCGCGAAAGCGUGGGGAGCAAUCCGG
rnacentral:rRNA from 1 species